rnacentral:rRNA from 1 species
AUUGAACGCUGGCGGAAGGCCUAACACAUGCAAGUCGAGCGAGCGGCGGACGGGUGAGUAAUGUAUGGGGACUGCCCGAUAGAGGGGGGUAACUACUGGAAACGGGGGCUAAUACCGCAUAAUGUCGGAUAACCUAUAUGGGAUUAGCUAGUAGGUAAGGUAAUGGCUUACCUAGGCGACGAUCCCUAGCUGGUCUGAGAGGAUGAUCAGCAACACUGGGACUGAGAAACGGACCAGAAUCCGACGGAGGCAUCAGUGGGGAAUAUUGCACAAUGGGCGCAAGCCUGAUGCAGCCAUGCCGCGUGUAUGAAGAAGGCCCUAGGGUUGUAAAGUACUUUCAGUCGGGAGGCGUUACCGACAGAAGAAGCACCGGCUAACUCCGUGCCAGCAGCCGCGGUAAUAC